GGGUGCCAUACACACAAAAAAAUAUAAACAAAUCUUUAAAAGCAAGAUUCAAGCCUUUUCUUUCCAUUUCGGAUUUAGUCAGAAUGAUCCUGCCUUUGCAGUCCCUAGCAACCAGAGCCGGUCACCUCCAAGAAUUCCAGGAAUGCUACCACAGGCUUAUCUCCUUAAUCCUCCAGCGUCCUCACAGCCGGGCUCCCGUGGCUGCCUGCCUCUCCUGGGCUCGGAUUACAGCCCCAUUUCUCUCACAUUCAAAGCUGGAACCCUUUACUGUUCCAGCCUCGGUCGGUCUCCAGGCCCCACAAUGGCGGGCUCUCUAGAUUCUCCUUUCUGCCCACCUUGCCUGUCUCCUGAAAUACCUUUUUUCUCACCUGUAUGCCAUAAAGAUUAUCACACUUAUCUCUCUACGGAGGAAAGGAGGGAAGUAGCUUUCAACUGGGUGAAGUUAUGUGAUGGGGGGGGGGGGGGGAGACGCAUCCUUCAAAACAUUGCAUUUCAAAGGUUUUCAUUUAGGAAGAAUUUUGUUUGUUUUAAAUUGUGAUGAGACAUUCUUUUACAUUUUUUUCCAGCUCCUAUUUCUCAUCUAGAAAUAAAAUACUUAUUUAUAUAUUUGCUAAAACUUGUAUAUUUGUUACGUAUAAUUGAAGAAAAUAUCUGAAAUACAAUACAUAUAUGUAAACAUUUACGUUUGCAACAGUGUAUCAGUUAUUUUGAGUUUCAGUGAUUAUUUCAACACAGCCUUCCCACCCCCACCCCCCCAAAAAAAGACUUGCCAAAAUUAACCCAGCAAGCUGAUAAUCUUUUGUUUCUGUGAUUUUUUUUUAUCACUAUCUGCUUUAUUUAUCUACGGAAAAUAAAAUGUUCUGCUUCCUAAGGGGCCCGUUUCUGUACAGUUUACACAUUUAGUAUACAGUUUCUUCCAAUGGAAAACUAUAAACCUGAAUUUUCUGCAACUUACAAUAGGGUUUGUACAAUGGGGACAUACUUUGGUGAGAAAAACUAUACUGAAAUUGUAUUUGUUGGAAAGUGAUUUAAAUCAUCUUUCUGGCGAGCAAUUUAAGUAGAGGCCAACGUGUCUGUGUGUGAGGGUGGGGUGGGGUGUGGCUUUAAGCAUGGUCACGUGGUGGUGACACAGGUAGGAUGUGUGCUCUGAUUCCUCUGGACAGUGCUGAGUGCAGACUAAUCGGAGAAUUUUAGUGAUCACAAAUUCCCAGGCCGUGGCCUGUCAGCAGGAGAGCACAGAACUGGAAAAGGCAGAGCGCAGACCCUGUGUUCAGCGGCCUUCACAACAGGCCCUGUACACGGCUGGUUAUGGAUUCCACAUCUCCUAGUGCUUGACCAACAAUGAAUACAGUGAAACCAGCUGACUCGGCAUUAAAGGUUUCUAAUGUGAAGGAUAUUUGUUAGUUCAUUCAGUUAUAUGUAGUACAAAAGCAGAAAAGCCCUGCUUAAUUAGCAUGUAUUAAUCCCUCGAAAAGCACACACACACACACACACACCAUACAUUCAUGCCCAUGCAUGCAAUAUACACAGAUGAUGUCUGGCCUCUUUGUUUCCAGAGUCCUCUGGGCACCACCAACCUCAGUACCACCACAGGAACAACAAGUUCUGCUUACCAGCUGGUGUCCUAGUAUUCAGCCAUGACACUUGAGGAGAGCAUUUAACAAACACACUAAGUACUGUUGAAAGAUUUGUACCUCUUCCUGUCUCUUACUCUCCAUGAUUUUGUUCCAGAAAGUUACCAGGGUACACAUUCAUGGGUCAGUAGAUCAGUUUGCAAAAUCUUAAUUCUGUGAGAACACCACGGUCAAGUACAUACAUAGCAGCUAAAUC
rnacentral:lncRNA from 1 species